CAUCCCCGAGUGCGGGGGUCACACCGCGGGACGUGGGGUUCCCUCCGUGGUGUGUGGUGUGAGCCCCGGCAGCUCCUCGCUGUCCCCGUCCCGUGUCCCCUCCUGGCUGUAACACCGAGCUCCUGUGGUCCCCCGCUUCCCACCGGGAAUAUUGCAGCGUUACGAUGUCACUCCUUGUCCCUAACUUGCUUCUCUUUGACAGGCGUGGAUAAACAGCGCGGUGUGUGUGAGCCCGCUCUAGGUGAUGCGACCCUUCUCCUUGUUUCCAAAGGAGGUUUUUGAGCAAAGAGGGGAGCGUGUCUCCCUGCCAGCGAGGCUUGGGGAAGUUUGAAUGGAUUCCUGACACGCUGGGUGACGCGGGAGCAGAGCUGGCUGCUCGGUGGGAGCGCCGUGUUCUCCAGCAUCCGUGCAAUUUGCGCCCACACAUGAGCUGUUCCAAUCCUUGGCGUUACCCUGAGAACUGGGAAGGCUGAAAACACCCCACCUAAAGCCAUAACCCUCAGCUAAACCUGUAACUCCCACCUAAACCUGUAACCCCACUUCUUCUGUGUUUAGGGUUGCCUCUCUGUUGAUGUCUGGGGUUCCUAACCUGAGUGAGGGAAUGAACGUGGGGCUUUGGGGGUACAAGUUGUGCUGCAGAGGUGAUGGGGUGGGUACCGUGCUGAAUGUCUGUGGUUAAGGAAGGGCGGUCAGUUAGGUGUUGAAAAUUUGGCUUUUCCUUCAGGAACACCAGAGACAUUGCUCAUGAGGCGCCCCACGUUGUACUCCAGGGUGACAUUGUGUUGUCAACUCUUUGGGUUGGAAAUUAGCAAAAUCCUCUUCUGUUUUGACAGACGGGCUCCUCCUCGCCUCUGAAGUUGAGUCACAUAUUUAAAGCACAGAUCCCAGCACUUCCCUCUCCCCAGCCCUGAAAGGGGAAGGAUGGAGGAGGCCCAGCCCGGAGGUUCCUGUGCCCGCUGUGGUUGGGGCACAGGACUGGGGCUGUCACCCUGCCCGUGCCACAGCGAGGGCUCAGCCUCUGUGUCACAUGUCACACGGGUCCCUUGGCUUGCUGAGAAGCCUCCAGAGGUGCAGGACUGCAAGCUGGGAUGCAGGAGGGUGACACAGAGUGUCCCUGUGGCUCUUGCGGGGUGAGGAAUAUUCGACACUGAAUCUCUUUUAGGAAAAGGGAUUGUCUUGCUUGUCCCCUGUCCUGGCCUCUCCUGGCGUCCCUGACGGGGAGGGACGAGUUCAGCUGAGUGGUUGGACGUGUCCCUGGCUUCUCAAAGAGCAGCACAGCUGCUACUGUAAGUGAUUCCCUCCAGCACCUUCCAAACUGCUACACUUUGACUUUGGGCUCUGGGACGAGCCCCUGGGUUCUCGUCCUGCCCUUGGGAGUGUGAGCUACAGCCUUGGCUUACUCCAUUGGGAUGUUUGGACUGAGCUGCAGAGCCCAAACUUGGUGUGGGUGUCUGCCCUAGACAUGAUGUGUGCUGACUUCAUUCCCUCCUCGGGUACACGGCCGGGCUGACGUCUCUGCUAGAGACCUGUGGAGAGAUGAUGCUUAAAAGAAUCCUGAUGGCCCAUCGCCAGGAGCCACAGCUGAAAUCUGUCUGCUGCCUGCUUUGGUUGUGCAGUGAACCUUUCCAUUUGGAGUGUCAUUCUUUAGGUUUGCUGUUCCAAAAUCUUGUCUAACAAUGCAAUCCUUCACUGGAGGAUGAGACACAGUUGUGUCUCUUCCUGACGUGAAUGAUUUUUUUCUGGUCAUGUUGUGCUUCCUCUUGGGUCACGAGCAACUGUUGUGUUGUUAAAGUUCUUUCUCCCAAAUCAAGAGAUGGUUUUGUUAAGGGUUCUGCUGAGAGUCACUUUGCUGAAGAGAGCUUUUCAGUGCUCCAGGAGAGUUUGAGCUUGGGGACAGUGUUCUAGCAGCAGUGAAAACAUUAAGGCAAAUUUUCUUCCCCUUCCAGAGCAAUAGUCCAUGGCAGAGACACAUCAUUAAAUAAAGUGAUGCUGUGUGCGAGUUAAUGGAUGGUAGUUCUGCUUGCUGUGUAGUACCUGGGUGAAAACAAGAGAUUCCUCUACUUUUCUUAUGGAUUCUUCUUCAUCUUUCUGUUUCCCACCUCCAGUUUUAUUGUAUUUUUUGGUACCUGAAGUGUGGCAUCCCUGAAUUACCUGGUGUGAGGCAGCCACGGAUGGUCCCAGUCACCCGUGACCCUGUUUGGAGCACGGUGAUGUGCAGGGUGGGAACAGGAAGCCCAGGGAGAGGUGAUGAAUGGAGCUGAAACGCCUGGUUCCUUACCCCGUUCUUCCUUGUUACCUUGGUGUGAUUUAUUAUUAGGCAAAAUUAGGCUGGUAGUUUCUGUGGAGGCUGCUGUAUGUAGGUCACUGCUGGCCUGACUUGGCAGGGUUGGCUGUGGUCAGGCUGCAGUGGUGGGGCUGGCAGUGAGGGCUCUUUGCCCGCUGCAAAUUCCACUUUUAAGACUAAUCUUUGGGCUGGCUGCCUUAAUUCCACAAGGAAAUGGCAGCUAAGGCAGGCUGGAGAGUGGGGACUGGUAUUGCAGGUGAUGAGUUUUUCUCUGUUGUAUGUGUUGGAGCUCUUUGUGGAGGAGAUUUCCUUUAAAAUCCAUGAACAAACCUCGCUGCUGACUUCAGCUUCAAAGCAGGAGAUCCUCACCCGGACUGGUGAGCUUUGGAAGGGCUGGAGGAGCUCAGGGCCCUGAGCUCGUGGGUUUGCCCCAUUUCUGGAGCAUCCUCCGUGCUUUGGUGUUUGUGAAACACUCCCAGUCUCGCUCGUGGCCUCAUCUGAUAUCUGUGAGUGCUGGUUCCCCUGAUGGAGAAGGAGGAAGGAAGAUGCUGCUUGUGGUUUGCUGUUCUGGGAAGGUGCCUGUUGUGGAAUUAGGGCAGGCAGCUCGGAGCUGAGAGCUGAGCAGCUCUGUGGAUGAGGGAAUUCGUGUAGCCAAAGCACCCUGUGUCCUGCAGCUUCGUGUGAGAUCAAAUGCUCUGUCCUCCCGAAAAUCCAUCUGGAAAAACACCCCCAAAGUGAGGCAGUAAAUGGAGAUCCUGGGCUCGUGCUCAUGGGAAGCAGCUUGCUGUGUCUGCUCUUCUUCUGUCCCUCUCUCAGUGGAGAGAUGUUUUUUUUAUUAGCUCUGCCAU